rnacentral:rRNA from 1 species
AUUGGACGCUGGCGGCAGGCCUAACACAUGCAAGUCGAGCGGAUGAAGGGAGCUUGCUCCUGGAUUCAGCGGCGGACGGGUGAGUAAUGCCUAGGAAUCUGCCUGGUAGUGGGGGAUAACGUCCGGAAACGGGCGCUAAUACCGCAUACGUCCUGAGGGAGAAAGUGGGGGAUCUUCGGACCUCACGCUAUCAGAUGAGCCUAGGUCGGAUUAGCUAGUUGGUGGGGUAAAGGCCUACCAAGGCGACGAUCCGUAACUGGUCUGAGAGGAUGAUCAGUCACACUGGAACUGAGACACGGUCCAGACUCCUACGGGAGGCAGCAGUGGGGAAUAUUGGACAAUGGGCGGAAGCCUGAUCCAGCCAUGCCGCGUGUGUGAAGAAGGUCUUCGGAUUGUAAAGCACUUUAAGUUGGGAGGAAGGGCAGUAAGUUAAUACCUUGCUGUUUUGACGUUACCAACAGAAUAAGCACCGGCUAACUUCGUG